UAAAUUCGAUCUUUUUACAAUUGACAUGAAAAUCUAUUUUGCUUUGAUCGUUUUGCUAAUUUGUUGCAAUUUGACAGUGGGAAAAAAGGAAUGCGAAUAUGCGUGCAUAUUAUUAGAUUCUCCUGUUUGUGGAACGGGGGCUUUGAAGGAUGAAAUAUUGUUUUGCGAAUUCGAGAAUGAGUGUGAAAUGAAACGCAUAGCCUGCAAGAACGAUAUAAAUUUACGCCCCAUUCCUUGCAGAGGCAUUGGAGUAUCGAACAAUUGUGGAUACAUUAAGCGUAUGGCAAAUUUAAAAUAACAAUAAAGGCGAAGCAAUUUAAUUUAAUUUAUUAUGUACAAUUCUACAUAUUACGAUGGUUGCUGCUUGAAUAAUUUCCUAUUCAUUUACUGUUGCUAAUCCACUUCGAUAUAGAUUAUAUAGUUUAUAAAUUGCAUGAAAUUUGAGUUUUCGUAGAAAUGUAUAAAUAGAAAUGGAUAUUGACGUUUAACGUUAGUUCAAAGACAAUCUAUUUUCAAUCAACAUGAAAA